CCCGUCUUGAAACACGGACCAAGGAGUGCAGGAGGUGCGCUAGUCCUCGGGUGAGAGAAACCCGUCGUGGGCGAAGCGAGAGCGAUGCCUUGUGCGUCGCGGGAGCCGGUGCCUUCUGGUGUCGGCGCACCGCGAACCGAGCCGUGUGGUCACGCUGUGGCCGGCUUCGAGUCAGAGCGCAUCUGUUGCGACCCGAAAGAUGGUGAACUAUGCCCGAGGAGGGCGAAGCCAGGGGAAACUCUGGUGGAAGCUCGUAGCGGUUCUGACGUGCAAAUCGAUCGUCGCACUUGGGUAUAGGGGCGAAAGACUAAUCGAACCAUCUAGUAGCUGGUUCCCUCCGAAGUUUCCCUCAGGAUAGCUGGAGCCCGCGAGUGCAGUUUCAUCGGGUAAAGCGAAUGAUUAGAGGUAUCGGGGUCCGAGAGACCUCGACCUAUUCUCAAACUUUAAAUAGGUGAGAUCGGUCGGCUUUCUCAAGUGAAGCCGUGCCGUGAGGAAUGCAGGGGCUCCUGGUGGGCCGUUUUUGGUAAGCAGAACCGGCGAUGCGGGAUGAACCGAACGGCGGGUUACGGUGCCGGAGUCGACGCUGAUGAGACACCACGAAAGGUGUUGGUUGAUCCAGACAGCAG
rnacentral:rRNA from 1 species